UAGACGUGGAUGUCGUAUUUCGAUGAUUC
rnacentral:piRNA from 1 species